rnacentral:tRNA from 1 species
GGUGGCUCAGUGGUAGAGUGUUUGCCUUGCAUGCAUGAGGCUCUGGGUUCAAUUCCUCAGUACCA